UUCUGACCUGCAGCUAUUUGUAAAGAGCAGCAGCUCAGCAGACCCAGUAACCUUCAGUUUUAACUCGGCCCCUGUGGUUUUCCACCGUCAGAUUGUGGGGCAGGAGAGAUGGUGUCAUCAGCUGCAACGGGCAAAAACUAUUGGAAGACAAAUGGACUAUACAAAGCUGCGGUCCACGAUCAAAUUGGAGAAAGGUGUCACCUCGACAAUAGAUCUGUGCCGUUACCACGGCAACAAGGCUCUGGAGUCCAUCCAGUGUUUCCCUUCCUCUGAGGCACGUUCAGCCUUGGAGAACAUCGCUCGCGCUGUCACAAAGUUCUGACCCCCAUACUCUCCUGUGGCCUCAGGACAACGUGCACAAUCAAUCGAUGCUAUAAAAACAAUCUUGGUUCCAUUUAAGCCAAUCAGUGAGCAGAAUACUCACGACCCCCUAAGUCCGACCGGUGUUUACUGGAAAUGAAACUACAGAUCACACCUUUAA